UACGAGAGGUCCAAACGUUAUUCGGAAUUACUGGGCUUACAGAGUUCGUAGGCGGCUCUACAAGUGAGGUGUGAAAGCCCUCGGCUCAACCGAGGAACUGCGCUUCAAACUGUAGAACUAGAGGGAGAUAGAGGUGAGCAGAACUGAUGGUGGAGCGGUGAAAUGCGUUGAUAUCAUCAGGAAUACCGGAGGCGAAGGCGGCUCACUGGGUCGCUUCUGACGCUGAGGAACGAAAGCGAGGGGAGCAAACGGG
rnacentral:rRNA from 1 species